rnacentral:rRNA from 1 species
CGCAACGAGCGCAACCCCUAUUGUUAGUUGCCAUCAUUAAGUUGGGCACUCUAGCGAGACUGCCGGUAAUAAACCGGAGGAAGGUGGGGAUGACGUCAAAUCAUCAUGCCCCUUAUGACCUGGGCUACACACGUGCUACAAUGGUUGGUACAACGAGUCGCAAGCCGGUGACGGCAAGCUAAUCUCUUAAAGCCAAUCUCAGUUCGGAUUGUAGGCUGCAACUCGCCUACAUGAAGUCGGAAUCGCUAGU